rnacentral:lncRNA from 10 species
GUGUAGGGUAAUGGCGGCCGACCUGGAGGCUCCUUGGGAUCCCCUCGAGAAGCCCGUUCAUGAGUGUCUGAAACUGUCACUUGACUGCCAGAAGUGAAAACAUCGUGUCCCUAGUCACCUGCCAUUUGCCUUUUCAAAACCAUUUCCUCUGUUCUCUAGGCUGUCACAAAUCCUCUGCACCCCAGGAGCGCCGCUUGGACCCCCGGGCUCGCUGCGUGGUCCAUAUCUAGGUCGGGCCUCUCACGGAGACUUUCCCACCAGUGUAAUAAAGAGGAGAAAACGUCACAGCGGAAGGGCCUGACCCUGCUGCAUCCACUAAGGAAACAGCUACGGGGAUGGGACCCUGGGAGCUGCUGUGGAGCCUCAUCCACCGCUUCUCUGACCCCACCCAGGCUGCUUCCCAGGCCUCAGGGUCUUAGUGUGGACCUCCGGGCCGUGAUUAAUGCAGUUUUUCAGGUUAAGUACUGCACGACUACUCGCUUCUGAAACUGAUAGACACUGCCUCAGCUCCGUGCAGGGCAGACGCACAAGAGCAGAAUCUCCGUGGGACAUCUCUCUGGAGCAUCAAUAUUACUGCAGUAUUUGGAAGAAACAAAUUUAAAUAAGUUCUAAGGUGAAGAAUGGAACAUUUAAGACAAGUCUGGAAAGUCAUCUGCCUUUAAUAACUGUCGUUUGUCCUUAACGUCAGACUUUCUCCAAGACCAAAACUCUAAGAACUUAUUUCCAUUCUUACAAAUAGUAAAAAUGAUAAAUCAUAUCAAGUCAAUUGAAAGUCCUGCCUGCUGCUUUCCUAAAUUGCAAUAUGGCCUUGGUAUGGUUUUAUUUGUACUUUUGUGGGGGAUUCGUGGAUCUUUAGAU